ensembl:lncRNA
UGCUGAUGUUGCUCUGUGUGAUGCAGGAGGUCGGGGAGCAGAGCUGUGGAGCUGUGGAGGUGACGGCUGUCUGAGACGGAGCGUCUGCCUCUGCUGUGAGUCUCCUUCAUGUUUCUCCACAUGUAUUAUCUGUGUUUCCACCACUGGAGGGCGCUGUGGGUUAUUGAUGUGUGGGAACAGCCAAUCACUGCAGGCUGAAUGCUUCUCUUUGGUCAUGUGACCAUUUGAUCUCUGAUCAGUGUGUUCUUCAGUUUCAGGCCUGUUUCUGCUGACUGCUGCAGGUGAGCUGAUGUUCCUACACCUGUCUGUCCUCAUCAUGACCUCUGACCUUUGGUGACCUUUAGUGACCUCUGUCCUGUUGCAGGUGUGUGUGUGCUGCUGCUGUCUGCUCUGACCGUUUCUACAGACUCCCAGCAUGCCCCAGGGGUGGAGGUGUUUGAGAGGGCGGAGUCUGUCCUGCUGUCCUGUCAGGUACCAGCUGAUGUUUCCAGGAGUGCCACACCAGGAGUGAGGGACCGCGAUGAGUUGAAGGUCCCAACAGUCCACAUACGUCUGCAGAGCGGAGUAGAUCUUAAAGAUCAGAAC